AUUGAACGCUGGCGGUAUGCUUAAGACAUGCAAGUCGAACGGUAACAGGCAGAGCUUGCUCUGUGCUGACGAGUGGCGGACGGGUGAGUAACACGUGGAAAUCUACCCAGUAGCGGGGGAUAAGUCAGAGAAAUUUGAUCUAAUACCGCAUACGUCCUACGGGAGAAAGGCUUCGGCCACUAUUGGAUGAGUCCGCGUUAGAUUAGCUUGAUGGUGAGGUAAAGGCUCACCAUGGCGACGAUCUAUAGCUGGUCUGAGAGGAUGAUCAGCCACAUUGGGACUGAGACACGGCCCAGACUCCUACGGGAGGCAGCAGUCGGGAAUAUUGGACAAUGGGCGAAAGCCUGAUCCAGCAAUACCGCGUGUGUGAAGAAGGCCUGCGGGUUGUAAAGCACUUUCAGUAGGGAAGAUAAUGACGUUACCUACAGAAGAAGCACCGGCUAACUCCG
rnacentral:rRNA from 1 species